CUGUGUGCUUAGAUGGCCUUGCACUAUGGCCUUCUGAACGCAGUGCAGUGCGGUUCGUGUGUGUGCGCGUGCGUGCGUACGUGCGCUGAACAGGGCGGCACUGAAGUUGGGCAAAGCUUAAUUUAAUGCAAAUCUUCUGCUAUAUUGUGGUGCGAGGAACUAAUCGAAGCUCAACAUACUGUAGUUUCCAAUCCCUACUGGAUUGGUUUACAUUGGCUGUUAAUAUGUAGCACUACCUAGCAUGCCUACUAGCUUGUUAGCACCCACGUGAGGGUAAAGCUAGCGUGGAUAAAGUGGCUCGCGCUCAGCUCGCCCAAACCAAAAGUUACACUUCCAGUGUAGCAGGUAAAAAUAUUAACUUGUUUUGAGACACCCUGUCUCAAAUUAUUUUCAGUUUAAAAAUACCCUGCCUAAUGGGACAGCCACAGAGCAUGCUCAACUUGCCCAACUCCAUAACUGCCAUAAAUUAUCCGUAUUACACUUGAACAAUGGGAAUGAACCAGAAAGAUCCAUUUUAGGCAUUGGAAUUCCUUACAGCUUUGUUGUUUCCAGUAAAAAAAAACGAACACUUGGAGCAACUUUAGAGCAGGCUCAACUUGGCCGACUGCCUCAGUUCACUUGCUCCAGGCAAUAGGGCAACCCUUACAGAGGAAUGGAAACACUUCAGGAAGUAAAGCUAAGCAAAGAAAUGUAUUUCAUCCUCUAAUACUAAACAUGUGCAUUUAACAUAGAAACAUCUCUAUUUUGGGGAUUUUUAUAUUUAAAAAAACGUUUAUUAUUAGUAUGUGUAGAGCUCUUGAAUUGCCCCUAUUAAUGACUGACGCCAUUGUCAGAAUUGAGAAAAUUGUGAGUUUUAGUGCGGAACUGAAAGGCAAUGAAUGCUGACACCGGGAGGUGCUUCGCCUCUACUGGACCUAAAAGUUUUCUCACAACUUUGACAUUGAGAUCAGGAUAAUAGUAAGGACACUGGUGGACUGUCGAUUCUCAGACACUGUAGACAUGUCACCUGUGCACCAGGCAGUCUAUGGAGGCUGUCCCCAUGGUAUCAAUGGCAAACAGUGGCUGGAGAGAGACUGGACAUCAUGCUGCUGAGGCUGAAGACAAGGUUGAGGGACAAUCCUACCCUCACCCUCGCAGUCUAGUUGGGGACACAUCCGCACUGGAGGAUGUGUCCCCCAUUAUCAUCAACCAUCACUCCUGUGUUCCAAUGGCACGUUGUGUUAGCUAAUCAAAGUUUACCAUUUUGAAAGGCUAAUUGAUCAUUAGAAAACCCAGCAUCCCGGAGUUGCCUUUUCACUGUUGACGUUGAGACUUGUGUUUUGCGGGUACUCAACGUCAACAGUGAAAAGGCAACUCCGGGAUGCUGGGUUUUCUAAUGAUCAAUUAGCCUUUCAAAAUGCUAAACUUGGAUUAGCUAACACAAUAUGCCAUUGGAACACAGGAGUGAUGAUUGCUGAUAAUGGGCCUCUGUACGCCUAUGUAGAUAUUCCUUUGAAAAAUCUGCCGUUUCCAGCUACAAUAGUCAUUUACAACAUUAACAAUGUGUACACUAUAAUUUGAUGUUAUUUUAAUGUAUCAAAAAUGUGCUUUUCUUUCAAAAACAAGGACAUUUCUAAGUGACCCCAAACUUUUGAACGAUAGUGUGUAUUUAUAUUCCAGAUUCUGACAUUGCUUGUUCUGAUAUUUCUUAAUUUCUUAAUUUUCAUUUUUUGGGAUUUGUGUGUAUUGUUCCUUUUGCAAGGCUGGAGACUUUGCAAUUCGGAGCUCCCAAUUUCUAACACGUAUGGACCCAGAACCUAAUCACGCAGCUGACCAGAUGAUGCCAAAUUAAGAUUUUAGUUUUGGGUUAACUGAGAUUAUACUGCUCUAAGGAGUGAAUGGAAUCCACACUUUGAUUUUGGUAGAAAAGUCACUGCAGAGAAAGCUUAUGUUAACAUUUCAGACAAAAAAACAAACAUUUUUAUUCAGCAUAGAGUGUAUGUGAAGUUAUACAUCAAACUAUUACAACAGUGUAACUGUUUUGGAAUAAAAUGGUUUUAAACAUC